CCCUUAGACGUUCUGGGCCGCACGCGCGCUACACUGACGGAGCCAGCGAGUAUAAACCUUGGCCGAGAGGUCUGGGAAAUCUUGUGAAACUCCGUCGUGCUGGGGAUAGAGCAUUGUAAUUAUUGCUCUUCAACGAGGAAUUCCUAGUAAGCGCAAGUCAUCAGCUUGCGUUGAUUACGUCCCUGCCCUUUGUACACACCGCCCGUCGCUACUACCGAUUGAAUGGCUUAGUGAGGCUUCCGGAUUGGUUUAGAGAAGGGGGCAACUCCAUCUUGGAACCGGGAAGCUAGUCAAACUUGGUCAUUUAGAGGAAGUAAAAGUCGUAACA
rnacentral:rRNA from 1 species